rfam:Pan troglodytes isolate Yerkes chimp pedigree #C0471 (Clint) chromosome 5, whole genome shotgun sequence.
GUCUGGUGCGGUGGCACACGCCUGUAGUACCAGCUGCUCAGGCUGAGGUAGGAUGAUUGCUUGAGCCCAGGAGUUCUGAGCUUUUGUGUGCUAUGCCAAUUGGGUGUCUGCACUCAGUUUGGCGUCAAUAUGGUGACCUCAUGUGGGUGGAGGAUCACCAGGUUGCCUAAGGAGGAGUGAACCAGUCCAGGUCAGAAAUGGAGCAGGUCAAAUCUCCAGUGCUGGUUAAUAGUGGGAUGGUGCCUGUAAGUAGCCACUGCAUCCCAACUUGAGCACACAGCAUACCCGGUGUCUU